rnacentral:misc_RNA from 1 species
GAUGAAGAACGUAGCGAAAUGCGAUAAGUAAUGUGAAUUGCAGAACUCAGUGAAUCAUCGAAUCUUUGAACGCACCUUGCGCCCUUUGGCUAUUCCGAAGGGCAUGCCUGUUUGAGUAUCAUGAACACCUCAACUCUCAUGGUUUGCCAUGAUGAGCUUGGACUUUGGGGGUCUUGCCGGCCUAUGGGUCGGCUCCUCUCAAAUUAAUCAGCUUGCCAGUGUUUGGUGGCAUCACAGGUGUGAUAACUAUCUACGCUUGUGGUUUUCCAUCAGGUAACCUUCAGUGAUGGAGGUUCGCUGGGGCUCAUAAAUGUCUCUCCUCAGUGAGGACAGCUUUUUUGAACGUUUGAUCUCAAAUCAGGUAGGACUACCCGCUGAACUUAAGCAUAUCAAUAAGCGGAGGA